rnacentral:lncRNA from 1 species
CCAUCGCCGUCGCCGUCGCCGAAGCCCAAGAACCCCAAGCCACCCAAAGGCCCCGCGUACCCGGCGCCGGGGCACCAGCAACCGCCCAAGAGCCCCUCCUACCCGCCGGUCACGCGUCCGCCAGUCGUCGGCCCGCCCAAGGGCCCCGUCACGCGCCCGCCGGUCACGCGUCCGCCGGUCGUCGGACCACCGGUGACCUACCCGCCGAUCAUCGGCCCACCGGUCACGCGUCCGCCGGUCGUCGGGCCACCGGUGACCUACCCGCCGAUUACCGGCCCUCCGACGACGCCGCCGGUCGUCGGCCCACCGGUCACCUACCCGCCGAUCACCGGCCCUCCGUCAACCACGCCUCCGAUCACCGGCCCGCCGUCGACGACGCCCCCAGUCACCGGUCCGCCCGUGACCUACCCGCCCGGCGGAGGCGGCGGCAGCUCGACGCCGUGCCCGCCGCCGCCACCGCCAUCUACCCCGACCCCGACGCCGUCGUCGCCGACGUGCCCGGCGGACUCGCUGAAGCUGGGCGCGUGCGUAGACCUGCUGGGCGGGCUGGUGCACAUCGGCCUGGGCGACCCGGUGGUGAACAAGUGCUGCCCGGUGCUGGAGGGGCUGGUGGAGCUGGAGGCGGCCGUGUGCCUGUGCACCACCAUCAAGCUCAAGCUCCUCAACAUCAACCUCUACCUGCCCCUGGCGCUCCAGCUCCUCCUCACCUGCGGCAAGACGCCGCCGCCGGGCUACACCUGUACCAUCUGAUCUCGAUUUGGCUAGCAACCCCCAUGCAUGUGCAUCCAUGAACAUGUAAGUGUGACUAGCUAGCACUAGCAGUAGCUAUAUAUAUAUGCAUGCAUCUCAAGAUCUGCAUGUACCAUUAUUAAUUGCAAAUGGCAUAUGCAUGCUAACUCUGAUCGAUGACUGUGAAAAUGCAGGGGUUCUGGAGUGAGCUAGCAUUCUUUGUUCGGUAGAGAUUGAAGAGAGAUCGACAUGAGAGGAUGUCGUCUGCUUCGUUCCUAGCUAGCUGAAGGGCUCCGAUCCGGCAGAGGAAAGAGGACCUGCAGGUCGAUCAGCUAAUUGACGAUGGAUCGACCAUUUCCCAUGUUUAUUGUUUGUCUCUGUUGUGGUUUCUACUUUCUAGAUGUGUUUUCAGUUUGGUCUCUCGGUCGAUUCGCAGCUUGAUGUUUUGGUUAAGCUUGAUUUGAUGCAAGAGGGGGUGAUGGUUGAUUGUUAAUAAUUCC